GUGGACUAGAAGAGAUAAAGAUGACAGGAAGUCUUCAGGCCACUGUGUUACAGAUGGAAGUCUGAGUUGCAAAACAAAACUGCAGGAACCCUAGAUUUCCACAAAGAAAUUUUGCAGCCAUAUAUAGAUGUCCAAUACCAAACCUUGUUCACCAAUAGAGGACUUGUCCUGAGCACAGUAUGGCUGAUGAUGAGUUGUGGCAGUUAACUGUAUAUCAUCCAUGCAGGUAUGCUGGGAAAAGGAUGCUAAAAGCCCCGGAACCAAGCAUAUAAAAUAGGGUUCUUGGAAGGAAAUGAAUGCUGCUACCUACCUAACAGGGUUAGCAAUCGAAAAGGCAUCCUAGGGAAUGCUGCUGCCUUGCAGCAGUUCAGUGGUACUGUUGUCAGAGGCAACAACCGAUAACUACCAGUUCUAAUCUGGAAUAUAUCUACACAGAAAACGUCGACACGCAGUGGUCAUGGCUUCAUGCUUCGUAGCAUAACCUGCUGUUAUGAUGUUGACUAGUACUUACUUGAAAGCAACCACCACCAAAAGCUUUCAUGAUCCCUGCCGAAAGUGCUUUUAUUUUAUUUUUUAACUGCUGGAAUUGCAUUUGCAUUUUGCUGUGUAAACAUGCUGUUAGGCAGCUCUGGACAACCAUCUGCAUGAUGAGGGAGAUCGCUCCGAUCCCAGAACAGCCAUCUCACAGCAGAGCCAAAUGAUACUCUAUGAGGCCACUGGCUGUGAAGUCAGUGCUAUGCAUUUUUGCUACACAGUACAGAAACUCAUCCACGAUGUAUGGAAAGCUCCAGAAGUUAUAACUACUGUGUUAAAAAGGAUUAAGAGGCUCUAGACAAAAAGUGUGUGAGUUACUUGCACUUCCAUAGAACCUUUCACCUGAGGAUCUUAAAGGGUUUUACUGACAUUAACGAAACCUUUCUGUGGCUCACUGCGUAUAUAUUAAACACCAUCUCUACAUUAAUGCCAAGAAAAAUGGGGUAGCCCUAGAAUGACUUUUCCAGGGUUGCACAGCUUGGUGCAAGUGAUUCUACGAGGUGUGACAGAUCAUUGGUGGGCUUUGGAAGGUAAUUUUCAGCCAUUACUGCAGCCUGACACUCCACCACCUUGCACUUCUACUCCAUGAAGGCUGCAUAAUAGCUGAUGGAUCAUGGCAAUGGUAAAUCCACUCACCCUCUGUUUGCUUCUUUCACUGUUAUGUGCCCUAUGGCUCUAGUGACAGAUCUAUGCUCUGUCUCAAUCUCC